rfam:Soboliphyme baturini genome assembly, scaffold: SBAD_scaffold0002260
UAUCUCUGGUUCCAGUGCAUUUCACGCGUAAAUCUUUCGCCUUUUACUAAAGAUUUCCGUGCACUGGAGCAUUAAUGAGAACAGAGUUUUUAAUUUUUUGAAGACCCUUUGGGUCU